AUCUCUAAAUGUAUAUAAACACCCGUAUAACACCUGUCUUCCUAGGGUUUUUGUUUCACUUAUUGCAGUCAGGGUGAGAAGUGCGAACCUAGCAGCAGCCGCUUCCUCUCUCUUGCUUGAUAUCUAGCUCCUUCAGUAUGGAUAGUCAAAUUAAGCAUGCAGUGGUGGU